AGUGAACGCUGGCGGUAGGCCUAACACAUGCAAGUCGAACGGCAGCACAGUAAGAGCUUGCUCUUACGGGUGGCGAGUGGCGGACGGGUGAGGAAUACAUCGGAAUCUACUUUUUCGUGGGGGAUAACGUAGGGAAACUUACGCUAAUACCGCAUACGACCUACGGGUGAAAGCAGUGGAUCUUCGGACCUUGCGCGAUUGAAUGAGCCGAUGUCGGAUUAGCUAGUUGGCGGGGUAAAGGCCCACCAAGGCGACGAUCCGUAGCUGGUCUGAGAGGAUGAUCAGCCACACUGGAACUGAGACACGGUCCAGACUCCUACGGGAGGCAGCAGUGGGGAAUAUUGGACAAUGGGCGAAAGCCUGAUCCAGCCAUACCGCGUGGGUGAAGAAGGCCUUCGGGUUGUAAAGCCCUUUUGUUGGGAAAGAAAAGCAGCAGGUUAAUACCCCGCUGUUCUGACGGUACCCAAAGAAUAAGCACCGGCUAACUUCGUG
rnacentral:rRNA from 1 species